rnacentral:rRNA from 1 species
GUGAAAUGGAUUUUUCCGCCUAAAGAAAAGCUCGCGGCUGAUUAGCUAGUUGGUAAGGUAAUGGCUUACCAAGGCGACGAUCAGUAUCUGGUUUGAGAGGACGAUCAGACACACUGGAACUGAGACACGGUCCAGACUCCUACGGGAGGCAGCAGUGGGGAAUUUUCCGCAAUGGGCGAAAGCCUGACGGAGCAAUACCGCGUGAGGGAAGACAGCCUACUGGGUUGUAAACCUCUUUUUUCAGGGAGGAAAAAAAUGACGUGUACCUGAAGAAUAAGCAUCGGCUAACUCCGUGCCAGCAGCCGCGGUAAGACGGAGGAUGCAAGUGUUAUCCGGAAUUACUGGGCGUAAAGCGUCUGUAGGUUGUUUAAUAAGUCAACUGUUAAAUCUUGAGGCUUAACUUCAAAACAGCAGUCGAAACUAUUAGACUAGAGUAUAGUAGGGGUAAAGGGAAUUUUCAGUGGAGCGGUGAAAUGCGUAAGAUAUUGGAAAGAACACCC